AAUUGCAGAGUGCUGUUUACUCUCUCUGCCGUAAGGGCAUGAUGAAAUAUUGAAAUAUUGAACCAGAUAUUUUGCAUGGCCAACAGGCUUUCAUCAGUGCAGAAUCUGUUCUCUGUAAUGAGGCCAGAGUUAGUCCUCCUAUGGUGAAAUGAAGACAGGAACACAAGAAGGAUAGAACUGCACCAGGCAUGAUGGUCCUAUAUGCUGUUAGGUCUUCUGUUGCUCUUCGCAGGUGUGUUCAGUCCAGGAUCUUGGCAUGAUGGCUGACUUUGUGGACAAAAGAAAAGCAACAGUUCUCUAUGCCGGCAAUCUCCUUGUUUCAGAGUUGGCUUCAGUUUGGAGAAUCCUCCUUGAAAAAGAGUCAUUGGUGGUUAAAUUACUCUUGUAAGCUAUUCACAAAGUGUUAUUAGCCUCAGUGCCGGGUGCAGUGGUGAAAAAUCUCCAUUUGAGAAGUCGUCUUUUGAAACUGUUUGGAAAAGGG